rnacentral:rRNA from 1 species
AUUCCGCUGAAUUUAAGCAUAUAAGUAAGUGGUGGAAAUUAAACCAAAUGGGAUAUCUUUAGUAAUUGCGAAUGAACAAGGAUAUGCUUAGCUUGACAAAUGGAGCUAUUGGCUUUGAAUUGUAUUUGUGGAAUGUAUUACCAACAGAGGUGCAGGUGCCAGCCUAUUAAAUAAAGCGUCAAUGAGGGUGAGAAUCCUGUUUGUCAUGUGCAGCCCUUUGUGCACGGUGUAUAUUUGCUGAGUCACACUCCUUGGCAUUGGAAUGCAAAGUGGGUGGUAAGUUUCAUGUACAGGUAAACAUGCAAUUGAGACUGAUAGCACACAAGUACCAUGAGGGAAAUAUGAAAAGGACUUUGAAAAGAGAAUUAAAUGAGUUUGUAUUUGCUGAACACAAAGUAAACAGACUUGAUUUGCUUGGUGGGAGUGUUGCACUUGCUUGACAAGAGCUUUGGGCUGUGGGUGUAAUGAUUCUUUCUUUGCAUGCCAGUUUCUAUGUGUACAUCUGAUUACCUUUGCACAUGAAUGAUAAGUCUCCUGUGGGGGGUGGAUUGCAUGUGCAUGUAAUGAUUUGUGUUUUGAUAAAUGUGUCUGGUGUAUGUGUGUGUGUUCCUGUGCUUGGGGAUGCUUCCUUCCUUGGACUUACAAGCCCUGACACACACAUGCUGGCAAAAUGCUUCUGCUUGACCCGUCUUGAAAAU